CGGACGAGUCGCAUGACUGCGUACGUUUUCAGCUUCUUGCACUUCAUCCCCAAUUGAUUCCCAGCGAUUUAAGCCACCAUUUAACGAGCCGUUUGUUCCUAUUUAAACCCCAGCCUCUCAUCUUCUUUUGCCCUCAAACCGCACAGACCGAGCGCCUCCAGGCUGCUCGAAUUUGGCCUCGCAAUUCCACGGUACCGUCGCGGUAAAUCAUCAAUUGCAGUGAGCAUGAGCAAUAUCUUCAUUUUCAUCUGUGAGGGUGUCCGCAAUAUUCUUCCGGCGAGCCAGGGCACCUCAGCGACCAGAACUUCGCCAUUCGACUCUUCUUGACGACACAAAUCAUCCGAUUGUGGUUGUGCUAAUUACAACGAGUAUUUUUGCGAAGCGUGUACCAACUCCUCCUGUCACCAAGGCAAGUGACACUUUGAUCCUAAAAUUCUUAGAGUUUUAUUAUUGUAUAGAGAAAAUUAUGCUAUGCAAACCCAGUUAGGAUAGCCACAUGUUAUCUUGACUCACACCAACAAAUGAGUUGUUUGCUUGGAUAUGCUUGUAGACGGGAAAUUGGUAUGAUGCUAAGAUAUUUGAUGACGAUGAUGAGGAAUGGGUUUUAGUUAGUAAAUUAGUACAAGAAAUGUGAACCGUCUUGGAUAUAUCACAGUUGGUUUUGGUCCUCGAAGUGUAGACUUUGAAGGGAAUGGACCAACAUUAUAUUUUUAAUGACUCUUGGUUCACCGUUG